GAUGAACGCUGGCGGCGUGCCUAAUACAUGCAAGUCGAGCGAACGGACGAGGAGCUUGCUUCUCUGACGUUAGCGGCGGACGGGUGAGUAACACGUGGAUAACCUACCUAUAAGACUGGGAUAACUUCGGGAAACCGGAGCUAAUACCGGAUAAUAUAUUGAACCGCAUGGUUCAAUAGUGAAAGACGGUUUUGCUGUCACUUAUAGAUGGAUCCGCGCCGCAUUAGCUAGUUGGUAAGGUAACGGCUUACCAAGGCAACGAUGCGUAGCCGACCUGAGAGGGUGAUCGGCCACACUGGAACUGAGACACGGUCCAGACUCCUACGGGAGGCAGCAGUAGGGAAUCUUCCGCAAUGGGCGAAAGCUUGACGGAGCAACGCCGCGUGAGUGAUGAAGGUCUUCGGAUCGUAAAACUCUGUUAUUAGGGAAGAACAAAUGUGUAAGUAACUAUGCACGUCUUGACGGUACCUAAUCAGAAAGCCACGGCUAACUACGUG
rnacentral:rRNA from 1 species